rnacentral:rRNA from 1 species
UGGGGAAUAUUGGACAAUGGGCGAAAGCCUGAUCCAGCCAUGCCGCGUGUGUGAAGAAGGUCUUCGGAUUGUAAAGCACUUUAAGUUGGGAGGAAGGGUUGUAGAUUAAUACUCUGCAAUUUUGACGUUACCGACAGAAUAAGCACCGGCUAACUCUGUGCCAGCAGCCGCGGUAAUACAGAGGGUGCAAGCGUUAAUCGGAAUUACUGGGCGUAAAGCGCGCGUAGGUGGUUUGUUAAGUUGGAUGUGAAAUCCCCGGGCUCAACCUGGGAACUGCAUCCAAAACUGGCAAGCUAGAGUAUGGUAGAGGGUGGUGGAAUUUCCUGUGUAGCGGUGAAAUGCGUAGAUAUAGGAAGGAACACCAGUGGCGAAGGCGACCACCUGGACUGAUACUGACACUGAGGUGCGAAAGCGUGGGGAGCAAACAGGAUUAGAUACCCAAGUAGUCCCUGAGCGGGCUGGCAAGGCG